rnacentral:misc_RNA from 1 species
UUAAGUUCAGCGGGUAUUCCUACCUGAUCCGAGGUCAACCUUGUUAAAAUUGGGGGGUUUUACGGCGAGGGGCGGCCCGACUACAGAAGCGAGAUAAAAAUUACUACGCCUAGAGUGCGAACCGACUCUGCCACUAACUUUGGGGAGCUACGGUACGAGACCGUAGGCUCCCAACGCUAAGCAACGAGGGCUUAAGGGUU